UACUACUUACCUCCACUGUCAAGGACCCACUGCCUGCCACUCUGCAAACUGGUGCAGUGUGUGGAAACCCUUCAGCAUCCAUUCAACCUUCAUCCCCCUCCUUCUAGUCAGUCAGGCAUGAAUCUCAAGAAAUAACACAUCAAAUGACACUAUUUCUACUGGACCUUACAAAAACUCACCAGCAACUUUAUUUUAGGAACAAAAUGGUGUUCUAUAAAAAAAUACAAAACUUAUUCUCACAAAAGGCCUACAACUUGUCAAGUGAGAAAAUUCAGGGAAAAAAACUAGCAAACAUGUUAACCACUUAUAAGAGAGUAAAAGACAGGCGCCGUGCAACUGGGGAGGGGAAGAUCACCUGGGAGUACUAUACACUAAUGGAUGAGUUAUUUGGGUCAUCGGGGAUCAGUACUGCACCACCUGGCACCAUUCAAUCCACACCUCUGGGUUUGGAAGAGACCUCCUCCAAAAGCAGGCCCACAACAUCUUCUCUUCAAGACCAGCCAGCAGGUGCUAGUAUGGAUGAACAGCCAGGAACCUCUACCAUACAAAAUACAAACAUCACAAGCAGGCAAAGAGGACCACAACCCUUACAAUUUCUGGAGGCUUACAGAGAGCAUGCAGAGAGAAGGACUGCUGUGCUUGAGUCCCUGGUAAGGCCAGAUCUGGAGAGAUGGUGGCAACUUAAGGAGAGGCGGAGAAGGUCCUUCGAAAAAAAGAUGGUGACCAGCUUGGAAACAAUUG